AAUGUUGCAGACCCCGGUUUAAUUUGAGAACCUCUCCGGUUACUAUCGUUACCUCGGUUCCCUGAGAGCGGGAACGAGACAUCACAGAG